rnacentral:lncRNA from 1 species
UUUUCAUGCAAAACUUAAGCAAUUAACUGUACACUAACCAUUUCAGCUAGAAGAAUAGUAAAAGAAGGUAACCUAAGAAAAGGGACCAAGUAGGUGAUAAGAGGAUGGAAAUAUGACAAGUCAAAAAAAACUAUAAAUUUCAGGUACACAUAAAUCCAGACCCACUUGGCAAGAAAAGAAUCGCAACUACAUAAGACACACAGAAUAUCAAGACCAAACAACAAAAACAUCUAGAAAACACACAAAUAAUAAAUGUCAACAAAACAUGGAAAUAACAAACAAACUCUCUUCUUUCCCUUUUGACAGCCGAUCAUUACCCAGCUAGUAGAUAUCAUCUCUCUCUCCCUAAUCUGAUUCUGCUCACCAUGACAAAGCAAAACUUUUACCAGAGUAUAUAGUACCUUCCACAAAUUCUCUGCGCCCCUGAAUGGGCAACAGAAAGGCCAAAUGACAUCUUACAACAAACAGCAAAGAUUCCCUCGUUACCAUACCUACCCCUCUCAUACCUCACUAUCUUUCUAAAACCCACCAUAUCCGCAUAACCCAGACACAGAUCUCAAUUGACGCAUCAUAUCAAGGUCCCACACUACACCCCAUAAAACCCUACUUAAAAUUCACCCAUUUUUUUCACAUGGAAACAAUCAAACAACACAAAACCACCAACAUAAACAGCACCAAAGACGCCAUCUUUAAUCACAUAAAAGCUAAAAACACCACCUUUCUAAAGGUAUUCACAAUAAUCACCAAAGUUUCAAUCUUUGUUACCUAAAUUCUCCAGUUCAUACUUGGUCUUGCUCACUGGCUUUAUUUUCCUUUGUUUCUCAGCAGAGAAAUCAAUUACCGGAGGCGGCGCCGGAGCUGCCGUGGAUAUCGGCUUUGGAGACAGUGCUUUCGUGACAGUACCAUCUGGACCAUACUUUCUUGGCCUCUCUCGCUUCUUCUUUAUAGCCAU